UACGGGGGGGGGCAAGCGUUAAUCGGAAUUACUGGGCGUAAAGCGUGCGUAGAUGGUUAUGUAAGUCGGAUGUGAAAGCCCCGGGCUCAACCUGGGAAUUGCGCUCGAAACUACGUGGCUCGAGUGUGGCAGAGGAAGGUGGAAUUCCACGUGUAGCGGUGAAAUGCGUAGAGAUGUGGAGGAACACCGAUGGCGAAGGCAGCCUUCUGGGCCAACACUGACGCUCAGUGCACGAAAGCGUGGGGAGCAAACAGGA
rnacentral:rRNA from 1 species